ACAGAGUUUGAUCCUGGCUCAGAUUGAACGCUGGCGGCAGGCCUAACACAUGCAAGUCGAGCGGAAACGAGUUAUCUGAACCUUCGGGAAACGAUAACGGCGUCGAGCGGCGGACGGGUGAGUAAUGCCUAGGAAAUUGCCCUGAUGUGGGGGAUAACCAUUGGAAACGAUGGCUAAUACCGCAUGAUGCCUACGGGCCAAAGAGGGGGACCUUCGGGCCUCUCGCGUCAGGAUAUGCCUAGGUGGGAUUAGCUAGUUGGUGAGGUAAGAGCUCACCAAGGCGACGAUCCCUAGCUGGUCUGAGAGGAUGAUCAGCCACACUGGAACUGAGACACGGUCCAGACUCCUACGGGAGGCAGCAGUGGGGAAUAUUGCACAAUGGGCGCAAGCCUGAUGCAGCCAUGCCGCGUGUGUGAAGAAGGCCUUCGGGUUGUAAAGCACUUUCAGUCGUGAGGAAGGUAGUGUAGUUAAUAGCUGCAUUAUUUGACGUUAGCGACAGAAGAAGCACCGGCUAACUCCGUGCCAGCAGCCGCGGUAAUACGGAGGGUGCGAGCGUUAAUCGGAAUUACUGGGCGUAAAGCGCAUGCAGGUGGUUUGUUAAGUCAGAUGUGAAAGCCCGGGGCUCAACCUCGGAAUAGCAUUUGAAACUGGCAGACUAGAGUACUGUAGAGGGGGGUAGAAUUUCAGGUGUAGCGGUGAAAUGCGUAGAGAUCUGAAGGAAUACCGGUGGCGAAGGCGGCCCCCUGGACAGAUACUGACACUCAGAUGCGAAAGCGUGGGGAGCAAACAGGAUUAGAUACCCUGGUAGUCCACGCCGUAAACGAUGUCUACUUGGAGGUUGUGGCCUUGAGCCGUGGCUUUCGGAGCUAACGCGUUAAGUAGACCGCCUGGGGAGUACGGUCGCAAGAUUAAAACUCAAAUGAAUUGACGGGGGCCCGCACAAGCGGUGGGGCAUGUGGUUUAAUUCGAUGCAACGCGAAGAACCUUACCUACUCUUGACAUCCAGAGAACUUUCCAGAGAUGGAUUGGUGCCUUCGGGAACUCUGAGACAGGUGCUGCAUGGCUGUCGUCAGCUCGUGUUGUGAAAUGUUGGGUUAAGUCCCGCAACGAGCGCAACCCUUAUCCUUGUUUGCCAGCGAGUAAUGUCGGGAACUCCAGGGAGACUGCCGGUGAUAAACCGGAGGAAGGUGGGGACGACGUCAAGUCAUCAUGGCCCUUACGAGUAGGGCUACACACGUGCUACAAUGGCGCAUACAGAGGGCGGCCAACUUGCGAAAGUGAGCGAAUCCCAAAAAGUGCGUCGUAGUCCGGAUUGGAGUCUGCAACUCGACUCCAUGAAGUCGGAAUCGCUAGUAAUCGUGGAUCAGAAUGCCACGGUGAAUACGUUCCCGGGCCUUGUACACACCGCCCGUCACACCAUGGGAGUGGGAUGCAAAAGAAGUAGGUAGUUUAACCUUCGGGGGGACGCUUACCACUUUGUGGUUCAUGACUGGGGUGAAGUCGUAACAAGGUAGCGCUAGGGGAACCUGGGGCUGGAUCACCUCCUUA
rnacentral:rRNA from 1 species